GGGCAUAUAGUUCAGUGGUAGAGCACAUGCUUAGCUUGCAUGAGGUCCAAGUCCAAUCCCCAGUAUCUCCA
rnacentral:tRNA from 1 species